rnacentral:lncRNA from 1 species
UGAGCAGCAAUCUGCCUUUAUUAACAAGGCGGGCGCCAGCUGGAGCGCGGGGCCCGGGAGAGAGGAGCUGCUGCAGCAGAGGCAGCUGCGGGGAGCUGCCCUCCUGGCCAGGGCAGCAGGUAAACAACAGAGGGCGCCUGGGCCUCAGAGCCCACCCACCCUCAGCCACUGCACCACCGGCCCCCUAGCUUGAUCCCCUCAUCUCUUCUGUUUCUUCCGUGCUGGAGGAAACAGAUGUGAUGACCAGAGGUGCAGCAGCCACCAUGUGACCAUGAGGAGGACAUGUAUAGCUAUGACAGAGCAGGAAAACAGAGAUCCCACGUCCCCAGGGACAUCUUUGAGCUACUGUAUCAGCUCAGGACUGCCUUCUCCCAGACUUCUUAUUGGACAAGCCAAAUAAACUCCUCCUUUGUUUAAGUCUCUCUGCAGGCAUUUCCUGUUACUUACUGCCUAAUAUGUUCCUAGCUGAUGAGAUUCAACCAUAAGCAGUUUGGCUCCAGAGCCCCUGAUCUUAGCAAUCUUGUCCUCCCUGUCACUGAGUUUGUAGAAGACAAAUUUGAAGGCUCUUCAUGCCAUAACUUAUUUUGAAAGACAUUUUUUAAGAGUAGUUUUAGGAUCACAUCGAAAGAAAAAGAUACAGAGAGUUCCUAUAUACCCCUGCCCCCUACAUUCACAGCCUCCCCAUUAUCAACCCCUGCACCAGAGUGGUACAUGUGCUACAAUCAAUGAACCUACAUUGACACAUCAUUAUCACCCAAAGUCAUAGAUUACACUAGGAUUCACUCUUGGUAAUAUACAUUUUAUGGGUUUGGAUGAAUGUACAAUGACAUGUAUCUACCACUGUGGUAUCAUAUAGAGUAUUUUUGCUACCCUAAAAAUCUGCUGUGCUCUGCCUAUUCCUCCCUCCCCCUCACCCCCUAAACCCUUGGCAACCCCUGAUCUUUUUAUCGUGUUCAUAGUUUUGCCUCUUCAGGGAUGUCACCUAGUUGGAAUCAUACAGUAUGUGGCCCUUUCAGAUUGGCUUCUUUCACUUAGUAAUAUGCAUUUAAGGUCCAUCCAUGUCUUUUUAUGUCUUCAUAGCUUAUUUCUUUUUAGCACAGAAUAAUAUUCCAUUGUCUGGAUGUACCACAGCUAUUUACCCUUCAUUUACUUAAGGGUAUGUUGGUUGCAUCCAAGUUUUGCAACUAUGAAUAAAGCUGCUAUAAAUAUCAUGUAUAAG